rnacentral:rRNA from 1 species
UACGUAGGGGGCAAGCGUUGUCCGGAAUCAUUGGGCGUAAAGAGCGUGUAGGCGGCCAGAAAAGUCCGCUGUGAAAACUCGAGGCUCAACUUCGAGCUGUCGGUGGAAACUUUCUGGCUAGAGUCCGGAAGAGGAGAAUGGAAUUCCUGGUGUAGCGGUGAAAUGCGCAGAUAUCAGGAAGAACACCCGUGGCGAAGGCGGUCUCUGGGACGGUACUGACGCUGGAGACGCGAAAGCGUGGGGAGCAAACAGG